AUGGAGCAGUUCCAUCACGGCCAGCACGUGCGGCUGCGCAGCCGCGUGCACGGCACGUACCUACACGCCGACGAGGACGGGCAUGGCGUCUCCCUCCACCACCGCCGGGCGUCGAUGAACGCGGCUUGGGCGGUGCACUUGCACCAGUUCCAGAACGCGCAGUACCUGCUCCUCCACAGCGCCGCCUACGGCCGCUACCUCGCCGCCACGGACGCGCCGGCGCCGCUAGGCCACCGCGGGCUCCGCGUCGAGCAGCGCAACUACAACCAUCCCGAAGUGGAUGCAUUGGUUUGGCAGGCCAUCCUGUCGGAAUCCGGGGAAGAGGUCUACCUCCGCCACAUCGGCGGCCGCCGCCUCCGCGCCAACGGGAGGCACUGGAACACCGACGCCAGCGUUGACUACGCCGACGACCUCGACAACAUCAGCAGGAAGAUGCUCUGGGUCGUGGAGGACAUCCCCGCCAGGGAGGUCGCGCCUCCCCUUCCACGUCCGACUGGGGUGAGCCCGCCAUGCCCGUUCCUUGAUUUGCGUGAAUUGAGCUCUGUUCUUGCCAAAUUUGCGCUUCUUGGUUUCUUUGAUUUGAUGAUGGUUCUUUGCGACUACGGAUUGCAGCUUCCCCACCUGACGUUGCGGUCGCGGCUGAUCAUGUACGUGUUGCCGACCGUCUACGGGGCCCUCCUCGCCCGCGGCACGUUCGUGUUCAGGGGGAGGUCCGUGUUCCGCCUGAGGAAGGAGCUGGCCAGGCAGCUGGGCGUUUUCGUAAACGUGGAGGUCUCCGACCUCUUCAUGUGCCUCCCCACACAGGAUGGCCGGCUUUUUCCACUCGUCGUCGACCUGCCCCGCAGCGGCCAGACCCUCCACAUCAUCGUCGCCGUCGCCGGGACGCCUGCCCAGGCGGCACUGCGGUACGCGGAUGUCGAUGCAUAA
rnacentral:rRNA from 1 species